rnacentral:lncRNA from 1 species
AUGUCAAUAACUGUCAUCUUUAGCACUGGGAUUACCCUCUCCCUGUCGAUCCACAGAGCCCUCUGUCCUCUGGCCCCAUCUGGUGAUCUAUUUGGUCGAAUCCUGUUUUUCUCUGGCUCCUUUGGUUUCGAUCUCUUCGUUUCAGGUUCCUUAAUGCUUUCAGGCCUUGGUGUUCUGUCUGUCCUCUUCGGUUUUCCCUUUUCCUUUACUGACCUGACUGCUUUGCGUACUGGAGACCUGCUGCUGGUCUUCCCUGACACCACCUGCCUGGCCAUUGGUGACCCUGUCCUGGGUUUAGAGGUUAUACCCUUACCCUGGACCACAGAGACCUGGUCUGCUCUCGUAGUCCUCUGUGAAAUAGUCGGGAGAACACGUUUUUGUGUAGUCUCUACUACUGGGAUACAGAGAAGUUUGGAGGGCUUGGUGGCUGCACUGCGUUUUGAAACUGAAGCAUCUGCAGGUGUUGACGAUUUUUUUAGAAUCGGCGGCAGUGUGCGUGUUUCUGGCAUUUUCUUAAUGUCAUCAGUGGUUCCUUGCCUGGGUUUAGGGGUUAUACCCUUACCCUUGACCACAGAGACCUUGUCUGCUCUGGUAGUCCUCUGUGAAAUAGUCGGGAGAACACGUUUUUGUGUAGUCUCUAGUACUGGCAUACAGGGAAGUUUGGAGGGCUUAGUGGCUGCACUGCGUUUAGAAACUGAAGCAUCUGCAGGUGUUGACGAUUUUUUUAGAAUCGGUGGCAGUAUGCGCGUUUCUGGCAUUUUCUUGAUGUCGCCAGUGGUUCCUUUCCUGGGUUUAGGGGUUAUACCCUUACCCUGGACCACAGAAACCUGGCCUGCUCUAGUAUUCCUCUGUGGAAUAGGUGGGAUAGCAAGCUUUUCUGUAGUCUCUGGUACUGGGAUACUGGCAAGUUUGGAGGGCUUAGCGGCUGCACUGCGUUUAGAAACGGAAACAUCUGCAGGUGAUUUUUUCAAAAUCGGUGGCAGUAUGCGCGUUUCUGGCUUUUUGUUGAUGUCACCAGUGGUUCCUUCACUCUGCUGCUGA